GUCCACGCCGUAAACGAUGAGAACUAGAUGUCGGGAGGGUUUAGCCUCUCGGUGUCGCAGCUAACGCGUUAAGUUCUCCGCCUGGGGAGUACGCCGGCAACGGUAAACUCAAAGGAAUUGACGGGACCCGCACAAGCGGUGGAGCAUGUGGUUUAAUUCGAUGCAACGCGAAGAACCUUACCUGCCCUUGACAUUGACAGAAUCCCGUAGAGAUAUGGGAGUGCUUCGGCCUGGAAAACAGGUGCUGCAUGGCUGUCGU
rnacentral:rRNA from 1 species